rnacentral:sRNA from 1 species
UCCUAGCCCUGAUAGAAGCGGUAUCCUUUUUUGUCUCGUUUUUAUGAGACAAAAAAGAUACAAGCGGAUAGCAGGAAUCAGC